ensembl:lincRNA
CUGUCAUUAUGAAUAGUGUUCCCUUUAUUUCUAUUAACAAUUACUUACUUAUUUUCUGAAUAGGUUUGGAUCCUUUUUACAUUAGCGGCUGAGAGAAAUACUACUAAUCACAGACUUUUCCAUAUGAUGAAGGAUAAGCCUCUUACAAGUCUAUGUGGAAUUAUUAACACCACGUGUGACUGCACAGGAGGACAGAGAGAACAUGGGGGGAAGGGCAGAGGGAGAGAAUCCUCAAGCAGAAUCGCCAUUCAAUGCAGAGCCAGACACACGGCUGGAUCUCACCACCCAUGAGAUCACAGCCCAUGAGACUACAACCUGAACCGAGGCCAAGAGUCAGACACUUAACUGACUGAGGCACCCAGGAGCCCUGGGACUCUGUUUCUUCAUCUAACCACAUAUAUUUGUGUACUUUCAUAUUUAUAUGUCCUACUUAAACUAUAAAAAUUUUAAAAGCAUUUGUUUCUUUUAUUUAAAUGUUUGGCUUCUAAAAUAUUGGUAAGGGCUUCCUUCUAGUUUGGGACGGCAGACUGAAUAUAUUCAUUUACCUUUAGUCUUUAAGGAGGUUUUCCUGAAAAGACACAAAAAGUGUUUUUAAAGGAAUGGAACCAUAAGAGGGCUGGUAAACUAGAAGGAGGACUACCAAAGGACCAGAAAAGCUAAAGUAACUAACAAUGAUAUAAAAUAGAAAAACAACAAAAGAAAUUAAUACAAACACCAAAAAGAACAGCCCUUUCUAAAGAAAGGCUCAGUGUCAGCCACUACAAAGAGAAAGAAUCAAUGGUGAUGACAAUUAAAUAGAUAGCAGCUUUUGACACAACUCAGUCAUUUAGACAGCUUUUCCUCUUUCCCAGGCUCUUCAUAGAUAGAGUCUAUAAAGCCAGGUUUUUAGCCCUCAUGGAUUAAACUUGAUUUUGUUCCCCCAAAUGGGAAAGGAGUCAACAGAUUGUUGGAGCCUGCAAGAGAAGCAGAGCAAAACCAAAGAUAGCAAUGAACCAUCACACUGGUCCCUAAGGAAAUUAAUAGAAAGAGAAGGCAGCUCCAUCCAGUGGUGAAAUACACUAAAACACUCCACCCUGAGAUAAAGCUCCCUUUAAUUUAGGAAUGAUAAAAGUUCCAAGUCUUGAGGAUAUUGUAGAGUCUAGAACUAGCCUUCUCAUUUAAGAGUCAGGAAAAGAGAACUGUACAACCAUACAGCUUCAGAAGAAACACACACCAAAUGCCUACAAUAAUCAACUAAAUCUUGAUUCAAAAAUAUGAACAAAAAACAAAGAUUCCAGUCACUUAAGGAAAACUACUAACAGAAAAAAAAAUCCCAUCAGAGAAAACAGAGAUAAUUUAAGAAAAAGAAUAAACUUUAAAAUACAUACAUUAGAAUUUCUGUUGGUGAAUUGGUAGACAAUGUGAAUACGAAGCUAAAGUAACUAACAAUAAUAUAAAAUAGAAAAACAACAAAAGAAAUUAAUACAAAUUUGAACUUGGAGGAAAAGAGAGGAAAAUUCCUAAGAAACAAAAAUGGGAAUUGAAAAGCAAAGACAUUAAAUACGGUGUUGUAGAUCUAGGGGCUUAUAACACAAGUAAAUUCAAACAAGGCAUUUGGGUCCUAAUUCCCAUGGUGGAAUAGAAGAAAAGACAUUUGGUACAUAAGUGUGUAGUAAUUGAAACUCAGAGAUUUAUAUAAAACCAGUCUGUUUUCUCAGUCAAAGAGAGAUUAGAAAAAUAUUGUUCAAUAAUUCAUGUAUAUGACAAGGAAAUUUAUCUUUGCCCAGAACUUAAGGUUAGCAAAGAAAACAUAUCAGAGCCAUAUGGGAAUUCAGAGUCGGAAUUUUUAAUCUAUUUGAUAAAAGACUCUCCGUGCCAAAAAAAUAAACUGUUCCCAGUCUGGUUUCACUACAUCUAAUAUCUGGCAGAAACAAACCUAUAACUAUUCUGUGUCACCCCUCCCACAACAGGACCCAAGAACUGUCACAGAAAAACCACAAUCCAUUGAAGAUGAACUCAUGAUCAAAAAUUACAGAACACAUGUAAAAAUGAUCAAGCAUAAGUAAGAGUCAGAAGAUACAACAAACAAAAAAAUCUGUAUCUCGACCACUUAAGAUGAUAAAAUGCUCAUAAAUAGAUAAGAUAAUUAUACUUAAAAUAAUUUAAAUGAAAUAAGAAGGGAGAAACUACAAAAGAUAUAGAAAGCACUAUAAAAAGAAAUAAACAUAUUUAAAGUGAACCAAAUAUAGCAGGUAGAAAAGGAAGAAAAAGUCACUGAAAUAUAAACCAAAAUGGAUAGACUAACCACACUAGACACUGUUAAAAAGAUAAUUAGUAAACUAAAUGACUAAAACAUCAGAUUAUAGCACAAGGGUUUACAAGAUUGGAGAAGAGUAAAGAGAAAUUAUAAGACAUGGAAGGUAAAAUGUGAAGAUCCAGCACAUAUCCGAGAAGAGUUUCAAGAAGAGAAUACAGUGAAAAUGAGGAGAGGCAAUGAGAUCAUGGUUGAGAAUUUUUCAAAACUGAUGAAGAUAUGAAUUCUAAAAUGAGAGGUACCCUUAAAGAAAAAUAAAAAGAAACUCACAUCUUGGCCUAUUGUUGAUAAACUCAGGACAUCAAAGGGAAGAAAAACCUUAAAAUUAACCAAAAGGGACGGACAAAUUAUCUCUAAAAAUAGAUGAACUGUAAGGAAAGGCCACAAACGAUCUCUUCAAAAUGGCAAAUUGUUUUUCAAGGGAAAGAAAAACACACAUUUUUAGAACUUCAAAGACUGAAUUUAGCAAAAUCUUCCCAGUGAAAGAACUGCUCAACAACAUACUUUGAGAAGGAAAUUAACUCCAAAGAACUGAGUAUUGGCAAGAAACAACAGGAAGCAAAGAAAUUAGUGAACAGGUGAGUAAUUAAAAAAUAACUGGAAAUAAAUUCUGAUAAGAAGAACAUUUAAGUUUAAAUUGGUUAUUCAGAGUUUAAUUGUUGUAAGGUCCUAAUUCUCUUUGGACAAAAGAUAUAGGCAUUAAUUAACUUUAGACAUUUAUAUCAA